UAUGACCACACAAGGAGAAGAUUUCAGAUCAGCCCAUCUGAGCUUUCGUUUUCUCAAAGCCAGAACAGAAUACCCAGGGCUCGGUUUACACCUUCACCUUUUCUACCCACUGGCGGACCAUAGGCAGGCUGGGGGAACUCAUAUUAUUGUUAAAAAACCUCAUAAA